AGUGAACGCUGGCGGUAGGCCUAACACAUGCAAGUCGAACGGCAGCACAGUAAGAGCUUGCUCUUACGGGUGGCGAGUGGCGGACGGGUGAGGAAUACAUCGGAAUCUACUUUUUCGUGGGGGAUAACGUAGGGACACUUACGCUAAUACCGCAUACGACCUACGGGUGAAAGCAGGGGAUCUUCGGACCUUGCGCGAUUGAAUGAGCUGAUGUCGGAUUAGCUAGUUGGCGGGGUAAAGGCCCACCAAGGCGACGAUCCGUAGCUGGUCUGAGAGGAUGAUCAGCCACACUGGAACUGAGACACGGUCCAGACUCCUACGGGAGGCAGCAGUGGGGAAUAUUGGACAAUGGGCGCAAGCCUGAUCCAGCCAUACCGCGUGGGUGAAGAAGGCCUUCGGGUUGUAAAGCCCUUUUGUUGGGAAAGAAAAGCAGCAGGUUAAUACCCCGCUGUUCUGACGGUACCCAAAGAAUAAGCACCGGCUAACUUCGUG
rnacentral:rRNA from 1 species